CCUUUAAAGAAAGCGUAAUAGCUCACUAGUCGAGUCGGCCUGCGCGGAAGAUGUAACGGGGCUCAAACCACACACCGAAGCUGCGGGUGUCACGUAAGUGACGCGGUAGAGGAGCGUUCUGUAAGCCUGUGAAGGUGAGUUGAGAAGCUUGCUGGAGGUAUCAGAAGUGCGAAUGCUGACAUGAGUAACGACAAUGGGUGUGAAAAACACCCACGCCGAAAGACCAAGGGUUCCUGCGCAACGUUAAUCGACGCAGGGUUAGUCGGUUCCUAAGGCGAGGCUGAAAAGCGUAGUCGAUGGGAAACAGGUUAAUAUUCCUGUACUUCUGGUUACUGCGAUGGAGGGACGGAGAAGGCUAGGCCAGCUUGGCGUUGGUUGUCCAAGUUUAAGGUGGUAGGCUGAAAUCUUAGGUAAAUCCGGGGUUUCAAGGCCGAGAGCUGAUGACGAGUCGUCUUUUAGAUGACGAAGUGGUUGAUGCCAUGCUUCCAAGAAAAGCUUCUAAGCUUCAGGUAACCAGGAACCGUACCCCAAACCGACACAGGUGGUCGGGUAGAGAAUACCAAGGCGCUUGAGAGAACUCGGGUGAAGGAACUAGGCAAAAUGGCACCGUAACUUCGGGAGAAGGUGCGCCGGCUAGGGUGAAGGAUUUACUCCGUAAGCUCUGGCUGGUCGAAGAUACCAGGCCGCUGCGACUGUUUAUUAAAAACACAGCACUCUGCAAACACGAAAGUGGACGUAUAGGGUGUGACGCCUGCCCGGUGCCGGAAGGUUAAUUGAUGGGGUUAGCGCAAGCGAAGCUCUUGAUCGAAGCCCCGGUAAACGGCGGCCGUAACUAUAACGGUCCUAAGGUAGCGAAAUUCCUUGUCGGGUAAGUUCCGACCUGCACGAAUGGCGUAACGAUGGCGGCGCUGUCUCCACCCGAGACUCAGUGAAAUUGAAAUCGCUGUGAAGAUGCAGUGUAUCCGCGGCUAGACGGAAAGACCCCGUGAACCUUUACUGUAGCUUUGCACUGGACUUUGAGCCUGCUUGUGUAGGAUAGGUGGGAGGCUUUGAAGCGUGGACGC
rnacentral:rRNA from 1 species